rnacentral:rRNA from 1 species
CCUACGGGUGGCAGCAGUGGGGAAUAUUGCACAAUGGGGGAAACCCUGAUGCAGCGACGCCGCGUGAGUGAAGAAGUAUCUCGGUACGUAAAGCUCUAUCAGCAGGGAAGAAAAUGACGGUACCUGACUAAGAAGCCCCGGCUAACUACGUGCCAGCAGCCGCGGUAAUACGUAGGGGGCAAGCGUUAUCCGGAUUUACUGGGUGUAAAGGGAGCGUAGACGGUGCACCAAGUCUGGAGUGAAAUGCCGGAGCUUAACUGCGGAACUGCUUUGGAAACUGGCGAACUAGAGUGCGGGAGGGGUAAGCGGAAUUCGUGGUGUAGCGGUGAAAUGCUUAGAUAUCACGAAGAACCCCGAUUGCGAAGGCAGCUUACUAAACUGUGACUGACAUUGAUGCUCGAAAGUGUGGGUAUCAAACAGGAUUAGAUACCCGUGUAGUC